UUACUUUACUACUGGAUAACCGUGGUAAUUCUAGAGCUAAUACAUGCAGAAAAGGCCCGACUUCGGAAGGGCUGCACUUAUUAGAUCUAAACCUUCCUGGGUAAAACCAGUUCUUUGGUGAUUCAUAAUAAUUUAGCUGAUCGCAUGGCCUUGCGCCGGCGACGGUACAUUCGAUUUUCUGCCCUAUCAGGCUGUUGAUUGUAAGAUAGAGGCUUACAAUGGCUACCACGGGUAACGGGGAAUUAGGGUUCUAUUCCGGAGAGGGAGCCUGAGAAACGGCUACCACAUCCAAGGAAGGCAGCAGGCGCGCAAAUUACCCAAUCCCAAUUCGGGGAGGUAGUGACAAUAAAUAACAAUGCUGGGCAUUUUUGCCUAGCAAUUGGAAUGAGUACAAUUUAAAUCCCUUAACGAGGAUCAAUUGGAGGGCAAGUCUGGUGCCAGCAGCCGCGGUAAUUCCAGCUCCAAAAGCGUAUAUUAAAGUUGUUGCAGUUAAAACGUCCGUAGUCGAAUUUACACCUGGUGCCUGAACCGCCGGUUCUUCAUUGAGCUGGAUUGGUUUCAGGCCCGGUGAUAAAGUCUGGUCUAUAGCUUGGUUGGCUUCGGUCGGCUGAGUUCCCUGGCCAGGCGUAUUACCAUGAGCAAAUCAGAAUGCUCAAAGUAGGCCUACGCGCCUGAAUGUGUUAGCAUGGAAUAAUAAAAUAGGACUCGAGUCUUGUUUUGUUGGUUUACUUGACAUUGAGAAAUGAUGAAUAGGAACGGUUGGGGGCAUUUGUAUUUGGCCGCUAGAGGUGAAAUUCUUGGAUUGGCCGAAGACAAACUACUGCGAAAGCAUUUGACCCAGGACGUUUUCAUUGAUCAGGGACUAAAGUUGAGGGAUCGAAGACGAUUAGAUACCGUCGUAGUCUUAACCACAAACUAUGCCGACUAGCGAUUGGGCCUUGACCUUUGGUCAGGUUCAGCAGCUUAGCGAAAGUAAAGUCUUUGGGUUCUGGGGGGAGUAUGGGACGCAAGGCUGAAACUUAAAGGAAUUGACGGAAGGGCACCACCAGGAGUGGAGCCUGCGGCU
rnacentral:rRNA from 1 species